GUGGGGAAUAUUGCGCAAUGGGGGAAACCCUGACGCAGCGACGCCGUGUGAGGGAAGAAGGCUUUCGGGUCGUAAACCUCUGUCAGGAAGGAAGAACCUCUCAAGGCUGAACAAGCCUUGGGACUGACGGUACUUCCAGAGGAAGCACCGGCUAACUCCGUGCCAGCAGCGCGGUAAUACGGAGGGUGCAAGCGUUAAUCGGAAUCACUGGGCGUAAAGCGCGCGUAGGCCGUCUUUUAAGUCGGACGUGAAAGCCCUCGGCUCAACCGGGGAACUGCGUUCGAGACUGCGAGGCUUGAGUCCUGGAGAGGGUGGCGGAAUUCCGGGUGUAGGAGUGAAAUCCGUAGAUAUCCGGAGGAACACCGGUGGCGAAGGCGGCCACCUGGACAGGUACUGACGCUGAGGCGCGAAAGCGUGGGGAGCAAACAGGAUUAGAUACCCUAGUAGUCC
rnacentral:rRNA from 1 species